rnacentral:rRNA from 1 species
UACGGAAGGCAGCAGGUGGGGAAUAUUGCACAAUGGGCGAAAGCCUGAUGCAGCUAUGCCGCGUGUAUGAAGAAGGCCUUAGGGUUGUAAAGUACUUUCAUCGGGGAGGAAAAAACAAAACUAAUAAUUUUAUUUCUUGACGUUACCCGAAAAAGAAGCACCGGCUAACUCCGUGCCAGCAGCCGCGGUAAUACGGAGGGUGCUAGCGUUAAUCAGAAUUACUGGGCGUAAAGAGCACGUAGGUGGUUUUUUUAAGUCAGAUGUGAAAUCCCUGGGCUUAACCUAGGAACUGCAUUUUGAAACUGAAAUACUAGAGUAUCGUAGAGGGAGGUGGAAUUCUAGGUGUAGCGGUGAAAUGCGUAGAUAUCUGGAGGAAUACCUGUGGCGAAAGCGGCCUCCUAAACGAAUACUGACACUGAGGUGCGAAAGCGUGGGGAGCAAAACAGGGAUUAGAUACC